rnacentral:rRNA from 1 species
GCGCAGCAGGCGCGAAAACUGGCCAAUGCGCGAAAGCGUGAGCCGGCUAAUCUGAGUGGUUCCCCAUCGGGAACCUUUUGCCAAGUGUACAAAGCUUGGCGAAUAAGGAGAGGGCAAGACUGGUGCCAGCCGCCGCGGUAAAACCAGCUCUUCGAAAUCGUGGGCAUGAUUAUUUGGCUUAAAGUGUGCGUAGCAGGACAGGAUAAGUCUACCUGUGAAAUGCCAGGUCUUAAGCCUGGCGCGUGCGGGGAGAUACUA